CAUAUAUAAUCUAGUUUUUGGUUCUAUUUCUAGAUUGUCAAGCACAAACAAAGAAAUAUGUAGAAAGAAUCCCACCAUCAAAAUAUUCAAACCCAAAUUUCGUCAGGGAUCGACUAAAAAAUAUAAUAAUUAAGCCAUUUGUUAAUGAGACAUGGCAAAAUCGAUUCGAUAAACCCUUCCAUCCAGCUUGGAUGGAUUACUGUGACCCAUACCAUUGUAAUGAUUAUCAUAAAACAGCCUGCGGAUUGAAUCGAAAAAGGAUGAGAUUCAAAUGGUUUCAAAGUGGAUGUCAUAUAGCUUUGAAUAACUUAUGCGCGGCGUAUCGCGGAAAUCUUAAAUACGAUAUGAUAGAAGCAAAAUUUUGUAUUCAUUACACGAUAUUUUUAAGAUCUGGUUGUCCAGCCAGUUGUAGUGAUGAUGAUAUUAAACCAGUUUGUGCGGUCAGCAGUAUUGAUAAUCAUGUUGUUCUUUUUAAAAAUAUUUGCGCUUUAGACACAGCGAAUUGUCGUCAAGGUGUCUUACAAGAAUACGAACGUGUACAUAUAAAUAUAUGU